CAGUCGCCGCGGUAAUACGUAGGGUGAAAGCGUUAAUCGGAAUUACUGGGCGUAAAGCGUGCGCAGGCGGUUAUAUAAGACAGAUGUGAAAUCCCCGGGCUCAACCUGGGAACUGCAUUUGUGACUGUAUAGCUAGAGUACGGCAGAGGGGGAUGGAAUUCCGCGUGUAGCAGUGAAAUGCGUAGAUAUGCGGAGGAACACCGAUGGCGAAGGCAAUCCCCUGGGCCUGUACUGACGCUCAUGCACGAAAGCGUGGGGAGCAAACAGGAUUAGAUACCCCGGUAGUCCCUGUCUUUAUACC
rnacentral:rRNA from 1 species